rnacentral:rRNA from 1 species
GAUGAACGCUGGCGGCGUGCCUAAUACAUGCAAGUCGAGCGAGCAGACGAGGAGCUUGCUCCUCUGACGUUAGCGGCGGACGGGUGAGUAACACGUGGAUAACCUACCUAUAAGACUGGGAUAACUUCGGGGAACCGGAGCUAAUACCGGAUAAUAUAUUGAACCGCAUGGUUCAAUAGUGAAAGACGGUUUUGCUGUCACUUAUAGAUGGAUCCGCGCCGCAUUAGCUAGUUGGUAAGGUAACGGCUUACCAAGGCAACGAUGCGUAGCCGACCUGAGAGGGUGAUCGGCCACACUGGAACUGAGACACGGUCCAGACUCCUACGGGAGGCAGCAGUAGGGAAUCUUCCGCAAUGGGCGAAAGCCUGACGGAGCAACGCCGCGUGAGUGAUGAAGGUCUUCGGAUCGUAAAACUCUGUUAUUAGGGAAGAACAAAUGUGUAAGUAACUAUGCACGUCUUGACGGUACCUAAUCAGAAAGCCACGGCUAACUACGUG